GUUUAUUUAAGCGUCGGUUAUUUGCGCAAAUGCUAUAAACAUGGCGGAGGUUGCGCUGGCUGAAAUCCACACGUUCCCAUCUAUACAGAACCGAUGCGUGUGUGUGCUCCGUAUGGCUAUGUCUAAUUCGGCGACCAGGCGAAUAUCUUCCAUCUUGUUAUUCCUCGGUACAAAUACAAAUAUAAACCCGUGAGAGAAUAGAAUCGUUCUACCUUUCUCCUUUUGCGAAUGAUAUCGCGAAUGGAGCGUGGAAUCGACCCUAUCGACCCUCGUCUACAGCUUUUCCCGAACGUGUAAUCUCUUUGUUGGAAUGAAUUGGAAUGGAUCGAUUGCAACGGCUACACGAAUGUACGAAAGUAAAUAUUCGGUAUUCUGUUAUUCAAAGUGAAGAAAAAUCAUGGAGAACUUCAGAAGGAGAGUAUACACAAAAUUAUACACACUAAGGUGAAAACACAAUGGAAUGGAGGAACAACGUGGAGCAAAUGGAACGGAAACUGCAAUGCCCUCCAGUCUGAAUCAACCGGUACCCUCGUUAGCCACUCUAACUCCGUAAGUCCUCGAACCUCGGCCUUCUCUAGCCACGCUAUUUGUUUGAAUUUCACUCUUCAACCAUGUGUAUGUGUGCGUGUACAAACGCACUUGUGCACUUCUCUAUUCAAUAUAUUGCAGCGGUUUACGCGAUGUAUAGUUAAGGCGGUUCGCUUAAAAACCGGUACACGGUUGGAUGCUCCUUUAAGGAUGCCUCAUAACGAGUCAACUAAACUGUGGUGUUGACUAGACUCCGGUGGAAGGGAUAGAGGCCGCGUACCAUCGCGGGGUAAAGGGGUGAUGUCCUUCCAAGUGUGCAAACGCAGCCUCGCGCAUAUUACGAGUUGUCCGUUACGAGAUAUAUCUAUAUAUGCUAUUGUGUCGAACUUUAGAUCUUUCUAGACUUCACCGAACAAGCGUGAAAAUAUUAGUGUGCAAAAAUUUCGGCCGAGGCUCGAGUUUAUCAAGUUAAUUUACGAGCAAUUUAAUUUUGCGCUUGUAGACAGGCAACUGUAGAACUGCGUGCAGGGCCGUACCGCAGUGGACCGAGCCCCCGUUUAUCAUUUUACGAUCGUUUCAUCCGGAACUGCGAUCUUUAUGAAACGUAGUUUUUAAAAGUUAUCGAACGUCUCGAUAAGAUUUGCUCGUGUCUAUCUAUUGCACCACGUGAUAAGUGCGAGAAGAAUGUUGAGUGGAUGGAUAUUAAAGUGUUGUUAAAGGCCUUGUAAGGUCGUCGUUAAUGUCACUUGCCGCUUAACACGCGUCUCUUGUUUCUUCUUAUUUCGUUAUUUAUGGAUGGAAUAAUAUUGAUAAUCGAUAUUCCAUUGUUGGGAUUGUCAUUUAUCAUUGCGAAAUGGAACAGUAUUUGAUUGUGUCGGAAUGUGUCGCGUACAAUAAGAUAAGAUUGCAAAUUGAUCCUUUCGGAAAACAUUUUAUCGACGGCCAUCCAGAUUGUCGAUUUUUCCUUUCUUUCGAAAAUCUCGUUUCCUCGUUUCGAACAAACGAAAUUUUUCCCUUCACCAAUUUUGUAAACAAAAAACGCGCUAUGUAAACACGCGAAAUUGUACGCGAAAGUUUUCAACGGCGACGAUUAAAAGAGAUUUGCAUUUUAUAUCGCAUUUAAUACGCGAAAACUGCCGCUUCGACCUCCUAUCGUGGAAACGUGCGCAGCCACGUAAUUAAAAUUAAUUAUAGCGUUUCAUUAACACGAGCGAUAGUACAAUGCGCGAUUCCAAGCGCAUUAAUCGUAAUAACACAACGUCCAGUCUUAUAGUUAUACGCUGUGUGAUGUAACGGUUAAUUCCGUUGGAAAAUUCUAUCGUUUGUCGUGCUUCUACGAUUACGUCAUAGCAUACGUUUUACUUUCUUUCUUUUUUUUUUUUUUUUACCCACUUAACUAACUUGGCAACUAGCCAAGCUUCGUUCGAAAAAUUAUCUUGAUAUAUCGGAUGAUAAUGGGCAAAAUUUAAUACGUUGAAGUUACGAAAAAAAAAAAAAGUUAAGAAUAAUUGGAAAUAAUCGUAAUACCGAUUAUACAGCUACGAAUAAAUGUUAUUCAAUGUUGUUUUAAUAAAUAACUGCUUAAACGUAACUUUAUUCGAGAUUUUUUAUGAGCUAAUGAUUAAAAAAAUUCGGAGAAUCUUUGAUAAAAUCUCAAUGAUAAAAAGAAAAUAAUAUUUUAUAUUUUGCUCGAUUGGUUUGAAACUUUCACGUCUUCUUCUUAAUAACGUCGACGAGUUUUCGUGACUAUUUUUUUUCUCUAUCGAUUUUCCUAACGCUUCGUAUUACUUACAAUGAAAUUGGACGAAGAGAGAAAAAGAAAAGAAAGGAGAACGAGACGAUUCGACGAAGAUUACCUUUUCGAAGGUGGGCGUACGGAUCGUCCACGUUAUUUUCAUGAUAGAUGACAGAAUGCAACGUGUCAUUUAUCUCGUGUGGCGGGAAGUAAUAGUACGCCUUUUCCACGUACCACGCGCCACCACGGGGCGAUAUGAUUUUCCCGUGGAAAACACCGUCGCUGAUACUUCCGAACACGUGACUGCCUGGCUCACCUGGAAAAACGAUAACAAAUAAGAGGGAUGUAUUUAGAAGAAUAGUUCGCGUUUAUAAAUGAUAUUAAAGAAAGGAAAUUAAAAUAUUCGUUUUUAUUGUAGCGUGUUUAUAUUAUAGUAAUAGGAAGCGAGGAAAUAAAUCGUAAGGGAGUUGUGCACAUAGUUCACACGAUUCUCAACACUAUGUUAUUUCGAGUUUCUUUGAGAAUUGUAUUCCGUGGUUAUAAAUCUCGGAUGACAGGUUUGAACAGGUUAGAUAUGAUACGGUACUUACAUGCGAGGAUAGUAUAAUAUCGAUAUUUCAUUCCUUUCUUGGAACGAAGAACUAAAUUAACUGCGACAUUUUUGUGCAGUUAAAGUUAGUCGAUAUAUAUUGUUUGCGCGAAGGGGAAGAAGAAAAUGCAAGAAAUAUUCGAGUUUUAAAAUGAUGUCUAACGUAUUCGAGUAACGUAGUGUGGAAUUAAAAUUGUUUAAAAAUAUAAUAUUAAUUAAUCAGAAAGAAGAGAAUGCGUUAUCAAUUGUAUUAUCGAUGAUAAAUUAAAAAACACGAAGGAACAAAAGUUGAUCGAUAAUGUAAAAAUUUAUUUAUAUUUGCUUAAAAUAAAAAUUCUUCUACGUCCAUUCUUUUGUAAUGUAAUUAUAAAUAAAUUAGCCUUUGAAAAAAUAAA